rnacentral:rRNA from 1 species
CAAUAGCGUAUAUUAAAGUUGUUGCAGUUAGAACGCUCGUGGUCGGAUUUCGGGGCGUUCCGACCGGUCUGCCGAUGGGUAUGCACUGGCCGGAGUGUCCUUUUUGCCGGAGACCGUGCCUACUCUUAACUGAGCGGGGGCGGGAGACGGCACUUUUACUUUGAAAAAAUCAGAGUGUUUCAAGCAGGCAGCUCGCUCUUGCAUGGAUUAGCAUGGGAUAAUGAAAUAGGACUUUGGUGCUAUUUUGUUGGUUUCGAACACCGAAGUAAUGAUGAGAAGGGACAGUCAGGGGCACUCGUAUUCCGCAGAGAGAGGUGAAAUUCUCAGACCCGCGGAAGACGAACCACUGCGAAAGCAUUUGCCAGGGAUGUUUUCACUGA